ACGCCUAUGAUAUAUGGAUCGGUACCAUCGGAUCGAAGCGCCGAUCGUUGAUCGUAUCCGAGAAACAAGUCAGUCUGGGUUCUACGACUGAACGAACAUCGCUUUGAAUUUUAAGGUGGCAUCUGAGUUUAAAUAAAAAACACGUGGAAGCAAAUAAAUUAAUAUAUCCAAAGGAAUAUAACAUCAAUAUCAGCCACAGCAACAUUGGAAGUCUUGAGUUAAUACCAAAAA
rnacentral:lncRNA from 1 species